UACGUAGGGUGCGAGCGUUGUCCGGAAUUAUUGGGCGUAAAGGGCUCGUAGGCGGUCUGUUGCGUCGGUAGUGAAAACUCAGGGCUUAACCCUGAGCCUGCUUCCGAUACGGGCAGACUAGAGGUAUGCAGGGGAGAACGGAAUUCCUGGUGUAGCGGUGAAAUGCGCAGAUAUCAGGAGGAACACCGGUGGCGAAGGCGGGUCUCUGGCCCGGUACUGACGCUGAGGCACGAAAGCGUGGGGAGCAAACAGG
rnacentral:rRNA from 1 species